rnacentral:lncRNA from 1 species
UUUAAAAUAGGAAGAGUAUCUGAAGUAUCCAGGUGGGUCUGAUCUAAACAGAUGAGCCCUUAAAAGGAGAGAACUACUCCAGCUGGAAGCAGAAGGGGACUUCAGAGAGAGGUGGUGUAAGGAGGUCAGAUUCUAAGUGUGAUAAGGAUGUGGCAUGCCAUUGCCGGCUCUGAGAUGUAGAGGCUUGUGUGCUAGGACUGGAGAGAGACCUUAAGAGAAGAAGGGAGGCCACCAGUUGACAGCCAGCAAAGAAAUGGGCCUCAGUCCUACAGCCACAAGCAACUAAUUCUGCCAACAACCUGAAUGAGCUUGGAAGCAGAUUCUUUUCAAAGCCUUCCAGUAAGAGCCAAGCUGGCUGAUACCUUGAUUUUGGCCUCAUGAAGCCAAGAGCAGAGAAAACAGCUGAGCCAGCCUGGAUGUCUGAACUACAGACUGCUCUUCACCAAGAGUCCUGCAGUUUCCUGCCUUAACAGUGCUUGGACUGAACGGGCACUCAUCCCCCACCCUGCCUGGCGCUCAGAGCCAACCUUUCAUCGCCUCUUCACAGCUCCCUCAGACUACCCCAGCCUCCACCACCGCCACCACCUCUCCUCAGCCACGUGCUAUGAGGACCACGUCCCCCUCACAGGUAUGCCAGGACUACCACCUUGACUCAGAGGCCGCCAUCAACUGCCAGAUCAACCUGGAGCUCUAUGCUUCCUACAUCUUCCUGUCCAUGUCUUACUACUUUGAGAUGAUGUGGCUUUGAAGAACUCUGCCAAAUGCUUUCUUCACCAAUCUCAUAAGACGAGGAAACAUGCUGAGAAACGGAUAAAGCUGCAGAACCAACGAGGUGGCCAUUCCUUCAGGAUAUCAAGAAACCAGAUCACGAUGACUGGGAGAAUGGGCUGAAUGCAACAGAGUGUGUGUUACACUUGGGAAAAAGCAUGAAUCAGUCACUACUGGGACUGUACUCACAAACUGGCCACUGACGAAAAUAGCCCCCAUUUGUGUGCCUUCAUUGAGAGUCAUUACUUAAAUAAGCAGACAAAAUUCUUCAAAGAAUUGGAUGACCACUAUAACCAACUUUUCCAUUAUGGGGCCCCCAGAAUCUGGCAUGGCAGGGUAUCUCUUUGACAAGCACACCCUGGAAGACAAUGAUGGGAAGAACUGAGCCUUAGGAUGUUUCCCAUAGCCAUGAGAGGACUUCCCUGGUCACCAGGCAGCGCAUGAAUGUUAGGGUUACAUUUAUCUUUUCUGUAAGUUGUACCAAAACAUCUACUUAAAUUCUUUCAUUUGUACCAUUCCUUCAAAUAAAGUAACUUGGUGACUCCCCCCCCCCAAAAAAAAAGUUAAAUUGCUAUUCUUUAUCGGUGACUGACCUGAGAAUUUCUUACUUUCCUGAGAGCUUAUUAGUGCUGAAAUUUUACUUUUAAUGUUAUAUUCAGGAUUUUUAAGAUGUUUCAUCAGAGAAGGUUGAUCCAGGAAGCUGACCUCCUGCAUUAUCAAUAAGAACAAUCCUGCUGCUGCUCAGAGCACAAUAUCUGUCAAUUAUAAUGUAGUGAAUGUACUUGCUUGUGUUUUUCUUCCCUUCUAGACUUGGAGCUUCUCAAAGACAAAGACUGUUGUUCAUCUCAGUGUCUUGCUUAUAAUGGGUGUCGGUGUCACAGUCCAAUGUACGCAUCAGGAUAGAUGUGGAGAGGGCUGAUGGCCACUCUGAGUUUAUCAUAACCAGUGUUUCAAUAUAUACAUAGCUUACAUCUGUUAAACAUACACAGGUGUUCUGGACAAUGUAAUUAGCGAAUGCCAAGAAUUCUUAGUGAUUUCUCAAGGAGCCCUCCCUUGGCCUCUGUUUUAAUAUUAUCAUGUUAUUGCUGUGCUCGUAUAUUUUAUCUUGGAGCAUGCAAGCCCUCGUAGGCAAUGGCCCCUCCUGCUCCUGAUCUCGCGUCUCCAUCUGUGCCCCCGGGCGACUGUUGCCUGGCUUAGGUUGCCUCCCCCUGGAGGUCUUACCCAUCAUUGGCUAACCGGCCUCCUCACCUCUGGGUCACAGUUUGUUGGCAAGCCUUUUGCAGUAAUUAUUAACCCUUCCUGCGUCAGGGGUGGCUACAAUGGGUACUCAAUGUAUAUUGAUAAACAAAUAUUAGAAAAUUCUAUAUCAAACCACAUUUUCUUGUUCUUUAUUGAUUACUUAUGAAGCACAUUUCUGGAUUUAUAAUUAGGAUAAGAUAAAGAGAUCUGAAUUUGAAAUUUGAUUAACUGAUGAUAGAAAGUUCAGGUACUUUUGAGUUUCUGUGUUCCUUUCUUUGUGGCAUGACCUAUAGGAGAAACUUAUUAUGAAAUUGAGUGUAUUACCUCAUUAAAAUCCAUAAGAAAUACAAACCAGUUGCCCACACAGCAUAGGAACGAAAACAAAACAAAAAACCCUGUUAUAUAACAUAGACUUUUCAUUGUCUCAUUUUUUGGUGGCCUGUUGCUAUGGAAAUCUCCCCAUACUAUCUGCAGACAUGAAUCACAUUCUGGGGAGCACCACACCUGCAGUGCUGCAGUGUACCAUAUGGCAAACUUACUGCAGCCAAAGGAGGCAAGGAGAAACUCUUUCCACAAGUAGAUUCAACAUCUUAAAGGUUGAGCCAUCUGUUAAAUAUGCUACGUUGCCUGUGUCUUGGCAAUAACCAAAAUUCAAAAAGCCAUUUGAUCUGAAAGACUGAAUAGACAGAUGCUGGGCUUGCACUUGAAGUGGGU